rnacentral:rRNA from 1 species
GGGGCCCGAGAAAUCCCGUGUGAAUCUGCCAGGACCACCUGGUAAGCCUAAAUACUACCUGAUGACCGAUAGCGGACCAGUACCGUGAGGGAAAGGUGAAAAGUACCCCGGGAGGGGAGUGAAAUAGUACCUGAAACCGUGUGCCUACAAACCGUCGGAGCCCUACAAGGUGACGGCGUGCCUUUUGAAGAAUGAGCCUGCG